AUCCAGCUGAUGAGCCCUAAAUAGGGGACGAAACGCGCGUCCUGGAU
rnacentral:hammerhead_ribozyme from 1 species